rfam:Hymenolepis microstoma genomic scaffold, pathogens_HYM_contig_2569
UACCUGGUUGAUCCUGCCAGUAGUCAUAUGCUUGUCUCAAAGAUUAAGCCAUGCAUGUCUAAGUUCAUGCCUUUAUACGGUGAAACCGCGAAUGGCUCAUUAAAUCAGCUAUGGUUUAUUGGAUCGUACUCGUUAAAUGGAUAACUGUAAUAACUCUAGAGCUAAUACAUGCCACGAAGCCCUGACCCCGCUCGUCGGGGAAUGGGUGCACUUAUUAGAACAGAAGCCAACCAGUUUAUGCAUUCCUUCGGGGGUGUGUGAGCUGUAGCCCUUCUGGUGACUCUGGAUAAUUGUUACAGAUCGCAGUCGGCUUUACGUCGGCGACGGG